GGCUGGUCCAAGUGCAAUGGUGUUUACAACUAUUUGAUCACAACCAGUUAUAGAUUCCUUUGUUCCUUUUCCAUUCCCACCAUUUCACUUGACUAGCCUGAA
ensembl:misc_RNA Y_RNA Y RNA